ACAGACAAUGAACUACUGGAUAGAGACUGAUGCCUUUAAGAUAGUCCUACUUUCAAUCUUCUAUCAUGGAGAAUAUCCAAUCAAAUGAGAAGUGGAACAAGUCAAGACAUGUUCCAGGCAAAAUGAAGGAACAAGGAUGACUGGUGGAGAGUAAGCAGUCUGCAUGGUGUGAUGGCUGGCUGAGGUGGUCUUGUGGAUCUGCGACACUGGAGGAAGUGCUGUCCUGGGAGGAAAGUCUGGCAAAGCAAGCCUGGAUCAGUGGAAGGGCUUGAGCAGCAGGCUGAGCAGUAUGGGCUUUGGACUACAGAGAAAGCUAAAACGAAGAUUUACAGAUCACUUCCGGCCACCUGGAGAACUCCAGGUGAGGAAGGAAGAAACAUGGUUAGACUACAGUGAUGCCAUUUCCUUAUGUAAGCAUUUGACUUCAGAAAUUGAAACUGGCCAUGAUUAUUGAGUAGGCACGGCAGUUCAGCUGAAGGAUGAUCAAUGGACUUCAACUCAGAUGCAGAUCUUGACUGACAGAAGAUAAUUAUCAUUCAAGCUAAUGGGGAACUUGAAUUGGACUCAAUG
rnacentral:lncRNA from 1 species